rnacentral:rRNA from 1 species
GAUGAACGCUGGCGGCAUGCCUAACACAUGCAAGUCGGACGGGAAGUGAUGAUUUCCGUGGUCUACGGGUGUGUAACGCGUAAGAGUCUGCCCUAGGGAGCGGAACAACAGCUGGCAACGGCUGCUAAUACCCGGUAGGUAGUGGAGCAAAACAAGGGAUCUUCCAGAGGAAGGGCUUGCGUCUGAUAACCUAGUUGGUGAGGCAAUAGCUUACCUAGGCGUUGAUCAGUAGCUGGUUCGAGGGGAUGAUCAGCCACACUGGGACUGGGACACGGACCGGGCACCUACGGAAAGCGGCAGUAGGGAAGUUGCCGCAAUGCGCGAAAGCGUGACAGGGCAAUGGCGCGUGGAGGUCGGUUGGCCGGGAAUCAUGAGCUGCAGUUUCCGAAGAAGAAGCUAUGACGGUAUCUGAGGAAUAAGCAACGGCUAACUCUGUG